rnacentral:misc_RNA from 1 species
CUCACUCCUCGGCGCGCUGGCAGCAGCGAUCACGCUGUUCGCCGCCGAGGCGACUGCGCAGCGCUCAUUUGUGGAACGUCCGGGCGCCGAUGUCGGCGUCCGUUUCCCCGGUGACUGGCGCGCGGCGAACUCGCUCCGCAAUCUGAACGACGAACUGCGGCAGGCGCAGUUCGAAAUCCGCGCCUUUCGCGGAGAAGGCCGGCGCGCGCGCUAUCGCCUGUCGCGUGUCGAGAGCGCCACGGACCGCUUGAACUUCG